CUUCGGCAGUAUUUCUCAGCAGUUGAAAAAGAGCUUCGACAGUUGGAGAACUUGAGUAUCCAAGACUACAUCACCAAAGCACAAGAUAUUGCCACUCUUCAUCACCAGAUCACAGAAUGUGACUCCAUACUUGAAAAUAUGCAAGGGAUGCUGGAAGGUUUUUUAACUCAUCUAUCCACAAUCAGUCAAGAAAUCCAAUCACUUCAAGAGCAAUCUGCUUCCAUCAAUGUUCAGCUUACCAACAGAAAAGUUGUUCAUUCUGAGAUGUCAAGAUUUAUUGAUCAGCUUAUGGUUCCUGAAGUUAU